rnacentral:tRNA from 1 species
GCCUGGGUGGCUUAAUCAUUUGAGUGUCUGACUUUGGCUCAGGUCAUGAUCUCAGUUUGUGGGUUCAAGCCCUGCUUUGGGCU